AUUGAGAUGCUAAAAUGAGAGAGCUAAAUUGGAAAGCUUUUUCCACAUAGGGGGCCGUGAGCAGGUGGCUGUUUUGUCCUCUGGCACCUUUGGCUCAGACUUAAGCAGCUUCAACGACCGCCAAGAUGCCUGCCAUGCCCACCAAGAUUUAAAGGACUCUGAUAAUUCUUUCUCUCCCCAAACGGUGUUUUCCUUAUCUAAUCCUAAUAACCAAGCCUGGAGGAAUCCCUGACUUCGUGAUUGAAGGCUCUCCAGGUCCCCUAGUUUAAGGGCAGAGAUUUACUUUCUCUGAGGCUACAAAGGAGCGUCUGCGAGAAUGUCUCUACCUUAGACAAAACAGGGAGGAGGGGUGGAGCUCUCCAAAUUGCCUCUGGUUUGGGCUUUUUCUUUCUGUUUUGGUGUAUCGUCUCUGGCCAACAACACCUGUGAGUCCUUGAUGUGACGAUUAGGGAAGAUGUUUUUAAUUCACAUAACUAUUCUUUAGAGAAAAUUGAUCCUGAAACACCUUAUUGCCUUAUCGUAGAAUGACUGCAUUACUCAGAAUUCUUUACCUCUACCGGAAUUUAGUGAAGGGAAGGCACAACGUACAUUAGGAAAAUACAGGACACACUCCAGUCCUUAAACCUUCCACAAUCUUCUAGCUCUUUAAGGUCGAGUGUGAUCCUCCCCAGAACUGCAUCUUCCAGGAAGCUCAUGAGAAAGGAAGGAUCCCAGGUCCCAUCUCUGAUCUGAGUCGGCAUCUGCGUUUUAACAGAAUCCUGAAGCAGUGGUCUAACUCCUUUGGUGGUGUUAUUGUUUGCAUGUAUACCUCCAAAAUUCACAUAUUGAAAUACUAACCCCCAAGGUGAUAGUAUUAGGAGGUGGGGCCUUUGGGAGGUAAUUAAGUCAUGAGGGUGAAGCCCUCAUGAAUGGGAUUAGUACUCUUAGAAAAGGGACCCCAGAGAGGUCUCUUUCCACCAUGUAAGGAUAAAAGUACACGGAGAAGAUGGCAAUCUGCAAACUGGAAAAGGGCCCUCCUCAGAACCUGACCAUCUUGGCACCUUGAUCUCAGACUUCCAUCUUCCAGAACUGUGAGAAAUAAAUUUCUUUUAUAAACACUCAGUCAAUGCUACUUUAUUAUAGCAGCCUGAAUGGAUUAAGACAGGUGGUCUGGUUUAAAGUGAUGUGGUGGCAUCAGAAGUUUAAGGAGAGACUGGAUUUACAGAACCAGAAUCUGGGAUGCUGUUUACAGAGCAAGUUAUUUCCUGCAUUUGGACACUGUCAGCAGGUCGAUUCAGGAGACAGGUGAAAACUUUAUCACCGGGCAGCCUGGAUGAACACCACAACUUUGAUAUCUUUCACUUAAAGGAAAGAUAAGGGCAUCCACUAUUUCUACACCUGGCUGGCAGAGUGAGAGCUCACCAAAGCACUUACAAAUUCAUGGACUAUUAUGAAGACAAGUUAAGAGAUUGUGUCCUCCAAACUCAUCAUUUUUCAGAAAUUGUAUCACAAUCCUACAAGAUAAAUGCACAAGAUAAUUCUUCAAAUCAUUGAGAGUGUAAUCUAUAAUCUUCCUAAACAACGAACAGUAUAGCACUGGUUAAGGAAAUCAUAUAUCAGCAUAAAGAAAUGUCAACAAGAACUAAGAAGGAUCCAGUUCUGAAUCUCGUUAGCAAGUUCAAAGCAAGGCCAAGAAGAUGCAAUUCCCACUGGAAACCUUAUGAGACAGUUAGAAGGGAAGGGGAGCAAAUGUUCACCAGGUGAGCACUGGAACGCAGCCACUGCACAAAUGCAAUCCUGUUCUAUUCUCACAGCAAUCUUCCAUGAGAAGUAUUUAUUACUAUACAUGAAGAAACUCAAGCUCUCCAUCAUUAGGUCACUGUCCAAUAUCACACAGCUGCAUAUAACAGGUUUGAAUUCAAUUUCCUCUGUGUCCAACUGAAAAUCCCACAAUUUCCACUCACGGCAUCCUCCCACCCAGUGCAGGUUUGGUGCAAAAACGUAGGACACAGGAGAGGAAAUUGAGUUUAGGUAAGACUCAGAAAAUUGACGAGUUUUCAAAUUAGGAGAGGCAUGAAAUGAAGAGGAGAAGGAGCAGCUGGGAGCGUGGAGAAGCAUAAACUCCGAAAUAACUGGCUAAGGAAAAUGGGGAUGCACAGACUGUGGCAUAGAAGCACUGAAGAGGGGAGGCAUGGAUUGGAAUGAUACAGGCUGUGUCAAUAUAGGGUCUGUCACAAACAAGCUAUGUAAAUGUGAGAAAAUUAACCACUCUAACUUCACAUUCCCCCUAUGGAAAAAAAAAGGGGGGGGGGCAGGGGCUAAGGAUGUCUAUUUCAAACCAUGUGGCAAUUAAAUAAAACAAUCUAUGUAACUCUAGUAGCCUCAUGGUUGGCACAUUACAUGCAUUAAAAUGCACAUUUCUCUCCCUUUCAUGGAAUCCCCUGAUGCAUCCCCGAACCUUUCUCGGUAGGAUUUGGAAUGUGCAUGCACAGAUUGCGGAUAGAUAGACUGCCACCCUCGUCAUUGCAGAAGGAAACUUGUGAGUUAUGCCCAGUGCAAUUCUUUCCAACUCUGAUUCCACUGUGGUUACUGCUGAUGGACUCUAGGUGGCCACAGAUGAUACAAACAUGUUCCCAUGGAGCCUCAUGUCAUCCUGACAUGCUGUUCCAGUCUAAGGUAACUGCUGUUCUUCAGUUUAGAAAAGGAGCAACUGUUUUGGAUACAUUUUCAGUGCCAGAACUCUUUCUCCACUGCCUUAGACUUCUCAGUGGUGAAGUGAGAAGGAGUUUUGACAGCUACAGAGCAACAUUUCCAAACGAGAAAAGAAAACAAGGCAAACUUUUUAUAAAUUAUUCAAAUAAUAUGUUAAAUUCAAGGAAAAGAAAAUUUCCAUUUUAUGGUGAAGACUGAUGUUUCCUAAGUCUAUUGGUAAGCUGAGAAACUGCUCUGUGAGCUCUUUCAUUGAAAAUAUUGAAUGACCACAGCUGUUAAAUCUUGCUAAAGGUGUCCUCAGUUCACACUACAACAUGCUUGGGUGCAGGGUCUGGAAGCAAUGACAAAUCAGUGAGACUCCAACACUGAGCUGAAAUGUUCUGUUUUUGCAGUGACAUCAGACCUUAUUAUUGCCCCUGUCUUCCUUCCGUCCUUCCCUCUCCAGGUGUAACUACUAACCCUUACUUGACUUAUAUUACCUCUAUAUGAACUUUCAUACUUUUUUUUUU
rnacentral:lncRNA from 1 species